rnacentral:rRNA from 1 species
AUUGAACGCUGGCGGCAGGCUUAACACAUGCAAGUCGAGCGGAGUGAUGGUGCUUGCACUAUCACUUAGCGGCGGACGGGUGAGUAAUGCUUAGGAAUCUGCCAUUUAGUGGGGGACAACAUUCCGAAAGGAAUGCUAAUACCGCAUACGUCCUACGGGAGAAAGCAGGGGAUCUUCGGACCUUGCGCUAAAUGAUGAGCCUAAGUCGGAUUAGCUAGUUGGUGGGGUAAAGGCCUACCAAGGCGACGAUCUGUAGCGGGUCUGAGAGGAUGAUCCGCGACACUGGGACUGGAAAACGGCCCAGACUCCUACGGGAGGCAGCAGGGGGGAAUAUGGGACAAUGGGCGGAAGCCGGAUCCAGCCAUGCCGCGUGUGUGAAGAAGGCCUUUUGGUUGUAAAGCACUUUAAGCGAGGAGGAGGCUACUAGUACUAAUACUACUGGAUAGUGGACGUUACUCGCAGAAUAAGCACCGGCUAACUCUGUGCCAGCCGCCGCCGUAAUAC